UAAAAAAAGAAGGAUUUUAUUUUGAUGUAGUUUCACUUGUUUAACUUUUGUUGUCUAUAAUUUUGGUAUCUUAUCCACAAAAUUAUCGCCAACACCCGUGUCAAGGAGUUUUCCCUGUGGUUUUCCUAGGAGUUUUACAGUUUGCUUUUUUUGAGCUAUUCUAUUUUAAGCUAAUUUUUGUGAGUGGUGUAAGGUAGGGGUCCAGUUCCAUUCUUUUGCAUGUGAAUAUCCAGUUUCCCCAGCACCAUUUAUUGAACUUUUACUGUUGUUUCCCCAUUGUGUGUUUUUGACACCCCUCUCAAAGAUUAGUUGACUAUAUAUCCAUGAGUUUAUUUCUGGGCUAUUCUGUUUCUUUGAUCUAUGCAUCUGUUUUUAUGCCAGUUCUCUUGUUCAUUUUGAGGUAUCACUCUUAACCAAGGGCUUUUGGAGGAGAGGGCAAAGAGUGAGCAAGCACCAACCCCUGAAGAUCAUUACUGGACUGAGGCACAACCUGAGAGUUAAGAGGAUGCCAAACUAAAGCCCACGUGGUGGUAUAAAGAAGGAUCAAAGUGUCAAGAAAAAAAUUCUGUCCAGCACUUUUCUGAGCUCUACUGGACCUGCAAUGCGUGCAUAUAAUGAGGUCUGAGGAGGAAAAGUGAUCUCUACUUUCUCCAUGUCACCAACUGAUUAGUCUAUCAUUCUCUGCUUUCAAGAUCCUGUGUUUUACCUGCUUAUUUUGGGUCUCAGGAGUUGAGGUAAAUAACUCAGGUAGAGGGACUCAGAUCAAUUGUUGGGUGACAAGGAAGGAUUAAGUAAGAUGGAGUGUAUUUUCUGCUUACCUAUUGGCUCUGCAGAAUGCAAACCACUGGUUAAUACAUAUACAUAACAGUGGGGAAAGAAUCAAGAUAACAUAUGUGAGGAUAUCUCUACUACGAUUAAGAGACGUUAAGAGGAAGGCCCGCCUCCUCCCCCACUGGCCUCAUUGUGUCCCUGGGGCCAUAAUGCCUACCCUGCUACCUGGCCAAAGCUCUCUGUGCCCCUUGGCCUCUGAAGCAGCAUGUGCCCUGGUGACUUCUGACACUGCCUAUUAGCCAUUACCUAGAUCCAAGAAAAAUGGUGAUCAAGUUAUACUGGUUGGUCAGGUGUGUGAAUCACAUGUUUCAGGAUACUACAGAAUGAUAUUCUUCUAAUCUUGAAGGCAAGAGAUGAAAAUGCUCAUUGCCCAGGUGUGGUUAAUGCCAUGACUUUUAGAGAGACCAACAUGGAAAUGGAAAUAUUUCAAUGCAUUCCCCAAUAAAGUACUAUUUUGAUCAUGUACUCCAAAGAUCAUCCUUGACAAUUUAGUCCCUUUCUCACCCUGAGUUGUCCCCAUGAAGCAGAAUCUUCAUGCCUUGAUAUCAGGUUAAUCAUGUAAGGAUUCUCCUGCCAUGUUAUUCUCUAGGAAGAUUUUGAGAAAUUAUGACACAUAUUGAAAUGAGAAUAAAAAGAAGUAAUUGAUAUUUAUACUUAAAAAUAUGUCUGUUGUAUACUUGAUGGCCACUCUUCUUUAGGAACAAAAUAAUUAUUUUAUACUGUUUUCUCUGGACAUUUGGAAGCCUGUCCAUACUAGGCGUGCCAACUGAAAGGGAGAAUAUGUAUAGACAACAGUAUAUUUGUGUGCCUGUAUAUUUUUCUAUGUAUAUAAAAUUGUAACCCAAAGCAGCUUUCUGAGAUCUUGUAACUACUACCAGUAAAAGAGUUGAUAAUACAGGGGCACCUGGGUGGCUCAGUCAGUUAAGCGUCCAACUUCAGCUUAGGUCAUGUUCUCACAGUUCGUGGGUUCGAGCCCCGCGUCGGGCUCUGUGCUGACAGCUC